UUCUGACCUCAGGUGAUCCACCUGCCUCGGCCUCCCAAAGAGCUGGGAUUACAGGCGUGAGCCACCGCACCCCGCCCAACAUGUCUGUAUUCUUAAGGCUGUGAAAGUGUCUUUACUAUUUUGUUCUCUUAGGUGAGAAUCCGGUCCUCACCCUACACUUUAUUCCUCAGGUGAAGAGACUGUGUGUAUGUGUGUCCAUUCAGGGAAGCAUGAGGGCAUUUGAAUUCAGCUGAGCAGAUUUAGUCAUCUAGGAGCUGCUCCGUUAAGUGUUUAACACAAUACUUAACAAAACAAAACUAGCAGGAAAUUAAUCUGGAAUUUCCCAGUAACUACAUGUUUUAGAUAAGUUUUUGAAUUGAGUCCAAGAUGAUGUGAUAGUGCAUGUUCAUAAUUAACUAAGAAACUGGGAAAAGCUUUCUUAAUCUAAAAACAAAGCCAAAAAUCUUUCCAUGCAAGGAAAGAAAAUCUUAAUUGAUUAACUCAUUAAUAGAGCAGGGAAAAGAAAACAAAAGCAAAAGCGAAAAAACUAACUUGAGAUCUGGCUGAACUCAUAAUGUGUAUUUGUUUUAUUUCCAGUUGCUGCUUACCCUCAUUAGCUGUGCAAGACCGAAGGAUUUUGUGCUUUCUCUUGCCUGGCAAUUGUUCAGUCCAAAAUUUAGCCAUGUUGUUUUUGUGUUAUUAUCAGGAGCAAGAGGACAUGUGUAUUGGUGACAGAAGAGGGGUGAGAGGGCAGGGAUGAGAUGAAUCUGAUUAACUUCAGGGCUUAUUAGAAUAAAUCUUGUAGGCUUGAAGAAUCUAGAGAAUCUUGUAUGCUUGAAGAAUCUUGUAGGCUUGGAGAAUCUAGAGAAUCUUGUAGGCUUGAAGAAUCUUGUAGGCUUGAAGAAUCUUGUAGGCUUGGAGACUCUAGAGUUCUCUGAGAAAUGGUAAACAGACUUUAUAAACCCUGGCUGUGUUGCUGCUAUAAUCUUCCCCUGACAUAAUCCCAAGAAAUAGAAACAAAUAGAAAUAGAAAUCUAAUAGAAAUAGAACUAUUUCCCAAGAAAUAGAAAGUAAAACUGACAAAGCCAAUGGAAAGAAAUCAGUUUGGAAGCUGUUAAUUUUCACGGGAUCUGUGUUCAGUAACUGCCCUCUAUCGGCUCCCCUGAAUAGCACACUAUAGAGGAUGGAGAAUCUGAAAGGCCUUUUUGCUGGUUUUCUUACGAACAGAGAGUUCAUAAGCCGGGACCUUCUUCAGCCUCCAAGGUAAAGAAAUUUGUGAUCUCCAAGCUCCCUCUUGUAUGUAUUGUGAACGCCUCUGUCAGAAGAGAAACACCAAAGCUACUCACCUGGAAAUGUUGCAGUAUGAAGGCCAGGUGCAUGUGGGAACCUGAUUCCCUUUGGUAGGUGUGGAGAAACAUUCAUUGGUCCGGUCCACAGAAACGCUUGUUUGGCUCCCUGACGAUUGGUGAGUUGUCUGUGUAUUGUCCGGGGUAACUACGGGUCACACAGAGUCUAAACGUUAUGCUUAUCUCUGCUAUAUUAAACUCCUGUUAAAACAGGGGGGAGUUCAAGUGCCCAUGGAAAAUAUGGUCACCCUAUUCAGUGACCAUAUUCAGUGACUGUCCUUGGCUUCCUGAGAGGGGAAUGUUAGAUGUGGAACUAUGGGAUCGUGUUGGUGCAAAACUCCAGGAACUGGUCCCGACAGGAAAUUAUGUUCCCGUCACUGUUUAGGGUGAUUGGGCCUUGGUACAUGCCAUCCUAAUGCCAUACCAAUCUUGUGACCCCUGCAGUUACCACAAUUUUUUGAAUCUGGUGACCCUCUACCUCUUCCUCAGCUUUCCUCUCCCACUCAGCCUGUUAUCUGCUCAGCCUUUCCCUUCGCCUGCUCCUCCCUCACCUGACAAUACUGAGGAUUCAAUAUCUAACUCCGGUGACUUUGGCUUAACGUCACCCCUGGAUGACCUUAUUUAUUUUCACAAAGAGCUGGUACUUGUAGCUCCCACGGCCCUGACUCGGACAGCCAGGGACCAUAUCUAUGCUAACUCUUCACUCUUCAAACCUUUGCAGCCUUUGCCUCCGGAGCCAUCUAAUGGCUCUGGGACCAAACUACAAUUUACCUGUAAUUCUGCAGGCCCUCCCCAGUCCACCACAGCCCCUCACCCUCCUGUCAUUUCAGUCCCUCCACCGGUCACUUUGCCAUCCACUCUACCUUCUUCUCUGUACCCUUCUUCACGCAUGGACACCCCUGCCACUCUGGUUGCACAGGAUUGGGACAAUAAUUACCAGUAUGCUUCUGCCUCUGCCUCUUCUGCUCCCCCAAUGCCCCUUUCUCACGCUCUCAUACUGGUCUGACCGCCUCAACCUCAGUUUCCCUUAUCCACACAUACUUUUCCUGUCACUUCUAUGCCAACUCCGUCUCAUGUGCCUGUUCUUGAAACUUCCAUGCAAUGCUUAUUACGCCAGAACAAAGAAACAAGUGGAUCAGAGGUGUGGGUUUAUCCAGUUGCACUAGAACCUCCCAAUGCUCAACGGAUACAAGUGCGUCGAUAUGCGCCGUUCAAUCUUACCUUUAUAAAAUAAUUCAAGGAUGCUUGUACUCAGUAUGUUCCUACUUCUCCAUAUGUUAAAAUGGUAUUACAGACUCUGCACUGAGAUUGUUUUGCUUCCUUUAGACUGGGAUCUUUCGGCAAAAGCUCUUCUAACUCCAUCUCAGCAUUUACAAUUUUGUACCUGAUGGUCAGAGGAGGCGUGUCUGCAGGCUCAGCUAAAUCGGGCUGAUGGCAUUCCAAUUACUCAGGCUCAGCUCACAGACUCCAAUAAUUACUUUGACACUACCGCCCAAUUAGGCUUUGAUGCUUUCACCACAGAACAAGUAACAAAGGCGUGUAGGCGAGCUUGGGAUAAAUUACAGACCAAGCUCCUGUUUCCUUUACUACUGUUAAACAGGGUCACAAUGAACUGUGACUUUUUGGCUAAAUUACAAGAUGCUGUUGAAAAAUCUGUCUCUGAUGAGCGUGCUCAAGGUAUUCUCCUUCAUAUGUUAGCUUUUGAGAAUGUGAACCAUGAGUGUAAAAUGGUCAUGCGCUCCAUCCAACGACAAAAUUUACCUGAUCAUGAGGUGUUGCCUGCAUAUAUUAAAGCUUAUGAAGGCACUGGAUCGGAGACCCACAAAGCUAUUCUGUGGGCAUGGGCCACGAAGGACGGCAACCAAACUGGCUCAACUGAUUCUUUUCUUGGAGCGUGCUAUAAUUGUGGUCAACUUGGUCAUGCUCGAAAAAAUUGCAGUGUUAAAAACUUAAAGGCGGGCAAGCCGGCUCAACAAACAUGGCCAAAUGCUCCUGCUACUGUUUGCCCUCGUUGUCCUAAAGGUAAACAUUGGGUAAGCACCUGCUGCUCUAAGUCUGAUAUAAAACUAAAGUUAUCACAGUUCAUACUGGUCUCAUUAAUUCUGAUUCCUUCGAUGAGAUUAAACUUAUGGUGUCUGCCAAGGUUCCUGUUUCCAUUCCAGCUGAUGAGUCAAUUGCUCAAUUACUUUUACUACCUAAUAUUGUUUUAAACAAAGGAGAUAAGACACAGGUCCCUGGGAUGGGCUCCGGCAGUAAAAAAAAGUCGCUUAUUGGAUUAAUAUAAUUUCUAAAAUUCUCCCUAAAUGAAGGCAAGCCAGGGUUAUGGAAAAACGCCCAGACCAAUACCUGAGAACUUGGAACAAUUAUAACGUGGGGAAGAGGGUAUGCUUGUGUUUCACUAGGAGAUCAUCAGUCCCCUGUCUGGGUGCCCACUAGGAGACUUAAACUUCGUGUGAAUACUGACAACGAAAACCACAGGGAAGAGACGCUCACAUCAGAGACCGCCCUCAUACCUGGUGAGAUUUGUGCCAACUCCUCAAAAACUGGCAUGCCAAAUCAAAAUGGGUCUGGUUCGAUACUCCCUAAUGGCAACGGAGACCCCUCUAACUAAUCCCACUUCUCUUAAUUCCCUUUCUUUUUCUCCUUAUGAACCUAAAACUCUCACCAUUUCUAUUAGCCUGAAAAUAACAUUCCCCUCUUCUUCUCUUUCUCCUUCAGCAAUGGAUCUUGCUUACAAUAGGUUUCAUUUAAUAAUUCUCCUCCUUGUACUUUCUGUCUCACUAUUUUCCCCUCAAACUGAUUUACCUGCUACACAAAAUUAUUCUUAUUGGGCUUAUGUGCUUUUCCUCCACUUAUUCGACCUCUCACCUGGAUGGAUGCUCCUGUGAAAAUCUAUACUAAUGAUAGUGUGUGGAUGCCUGGAGCUACAGAUGACCGUUGCCCUGCUCAACCAGGAGAAGAAGGCACUGCAUUUAAUGUUACUAUGGGUUAUAAAUACCCUCCUCUGUGCCUCGGACAUGCACCUGGUUGUAUCCAUCUAGAAACCCAAGUCUGGGCUGCUUAACUUCCUGAGAGAUGGGGAACGGGGACAUUUGGUCUCCAGCCUCUCCCUUUCUCCUUUAAGACAAAUGAAAAGGGGAAUAAUAGGAGAUACCUCAUACUUUCAAAUAUGAAUCUGUAGGAAAACCAUGUCCUAAAAAUUUUGAGGGCCCAUCUAAAACUUUAAUUUGGGAAGACUGUGUUAACUCACAUGCAGUAGUAUUAAAAAAUGACUCAUAUGGUUUAGUAAUAGACUGGGCACCAAAGGGCUAUUUGAAAAACAAUUGCUCCUCUGGCAGAUAGGAAUGCCUGGAGGCUACUUAUUUUAUUUUUUAUAGGGAGGACGAGGAUCAUCAUCCUACUUUGCAUAGGAGGUUCAGCUCAUUCUUUUCCUUAAAAUGGGAAGAUAAGGGCAUUACUCCCCCGAGGCCUCGUAUGAUAUUCCCCAUUCUGAGCCCAGAACACCCAGAACUUUGGAAACUGGCUAUGUGAUCUACUUCCUGUUCUUACACCCCCUCCUCUUUUGAAACUCUUAAUAAAAAACUUGCUGGUUUGAGGCUCAGGUGGGUAUCAUG